UCGAGUGAGGAGCAUCCAAAAUUUAAGUUUUUAUUUCCGGAAAACAAAAAUUCAGUAAUUCAGUGUACAAAAAAAAAAAUUGUUUCCUAGUUUAAAAUUUGUUUGUUACUUUUUGGACACACGAACUCAAAGAAUGACUCUUGGGAAGGGAAGGCGGCUCUUCAAAUAAAGAAAGGCGAUCGUGAUGGUACCGGGAUAUCCAAACAAAUACUCCCCCAGUUCGGAUUACCAGUGGCUUGCAUCAAUAUUAAUAAUCACUAUAUUAAGCACUAUAUUAAGCACAGAGAAAGGGAAGGAACGAAAUGGAAGGAUGGUGACCCUUCAGACGAGGGAAGGACAUCGUGAUGGUACCUGGAAUAUCCGAUCAGUUAUUCCCUCAGUUCGGAUAUACAGUGGCUCGCAUCAAUAUUAAUAAUCACUAUAUUAAGCACUAUAUUAAGCACAGAGAAAGAGAAGGAAGGAAAUGGAAGGAUGGUGACCCUUCAGACGAGGGAAGGACAUCGUGAUGGUGCCUGGAAUAUCCGAUCAGUUAUUCCCCCAGUUCGGAUUCCCAGUGGCUUGCAUCAAUACCAAAUAAACAUUAUGCAACGAGAUCAAGACCGAAUAAAUCACUAUAUUAAGCACUAUAUUAAGCACAGAGAAAGGGAAGGAAGGAAAUGGAAGGAUGGUGAUCCUUCAGACGAAGGAAGGACAUCGUGAUGGUACCUGGAAUAUCCGAUCAGUUAUUCCCUCAGUUCGGAUAUACAGUGGCUUCCAUCAAUGCCAAAUAAACAUUAUGCAACGAGAUCAAGACCGAAUAAAUCACUAUAUUAAGCACUAUAUUAAGCACAGAGAAAGGGAAGGAAGGAAAUGGAAGGAUGGUGAUCCUUCAGACGAAGGAAGGACAUCGUGAUGGUACCUGGAAUAUCCGAUCAGUUAUUCCCUCAGUUCGGAUAUACAGUGGCUCGCAUCAAUACCAAAUAAACAUUAUGCAACGAGAUCAAGACCGAAUAAAUCACUAUAUUAAGCACUAUAUUAAGCACAGAGAAAGGGAAGGAAGGAAAUGGAAGGAUGGUGAUCCUUCAGACGAAGGAAGGACAUCGUGAUGGUACCUGGAAUAUCCGAUCAGUUAUUCCCUCAGUUCGGAUAUAUAGUGGCUUCCAUCAAUACCACAUAAACAUUAUGCAACGAGAUCAAGACCGAAUAAUUCACUAUAUUAAGCACUAUAUUAAGCACAGAGAAAGACGAGGGAACGACAUCGUGAUGGUACCUGGAAUAUCCGAUCAGUUAUUCCCUCAGUUCGGAUAUACAGUGGCUUCCAUCAAUACCAAAUAAACAUUAUGCAACGAGAUCAAGACCGAAUAAAUCACUAUAUUAAGCACUAUAUUAAGCACAGAGAAAGGGAAGGAAGGAAAUGGAAGGAUGGUGAUCCUUCAGACGAGGGAAGGACAUCGUGAUGGUACCUGGAAUAUCCGAUCAGUUAUUCCCUCAGUUCGGAUAUACAGUGGCUCGCAUCAAUACCAAAUAAACAUUAUGCAACGAGAUCAAGACCGAAUAAAUCACUAUAUUAAGCACAGAGAAAGGGAAGGAAGGAAAUGGAAGGAUGGUGACCCUUCAGACGAAGGAAGGACAUCGUGAUGGUACCUGGAAUAUCCGAUCAGUUAUUCCCUCAGUUCGGAUAUACAGUGGCUUCCAUCAAUACCAAAUAAACAUUAUGCAACGAGAUCAAGACCGAAUAAAUCACUAUAUUAAGCACUAUAUUAAGCACAGAGAAAGGGAAGGAAGGAAAUGGAAGGAUGGUGAUCCUUCUGACGAGAGAAGGACAUCGUGAUGGUACCUGGAAUAUCCGAUCAGUUAUUCCCUCAGUUCGGAUAUACAGUGGCUCGCAUCAAUACCAAAUAAACAUUAUGCAACGAGAUCAAGAACGAAUAAAUCACUAUAUUAAGCACUAUAUUAAGCACAGAGAAAGGGAAGGAAGGAAAUGGAAGGAUGGUGAUCCUUCAGACGAGGGAAGGACAUCGUGAUGGUACCUGGAAUAUCCGAUCAGUUAUUCCCUCAGUUCGGAUAUACAGUGGCUUCCAUCAAUACCAAAUAAACAUUAUGCAACGAGAUCAAGACCGAAUAAAUCACUAUAUUAAGCACUAUAUUAAGCACAGAGAAAGGGAAGGAAGGAAAUGGAAGGAUGGUGAUCCUUCAGACGAAGGAAGGACAUCGUGAUGGUACCUGGAAUAUCCGAUCAGUUAUUCCCUCAGUUCGCAUAUACAGUGGCUUCCAUCAAUACCAAAUAAACAUUAUGCAACGAGAUCAAGACCGAAUAAAUCACUAUAUUAAGCACUAUAUUAAGCACAGAGAAAGGGAAGGAAGGAAAUGGAAGGAUGGUGAUCCUUCAGACGAAGGAAGGACAUCGUGAUGGUACCUGGAAUAUCCGAUCAGUUAUUCCCUCAGUUCGGAUAUACAGUGGCUCGCAUCAAUACCAAAUAAACAUUAUGCAACGAGAUCAAGACCGAAUAAAUCACUAUAUUAAGCACUAUAUUAAGCACUAUAUUAAGCACUAUAUUAAGCACUAUAUUAAGCACAGAGAAAGGGAAGGAAGGAAAUGGAAGGAUGGUGAUCCUUCAGACGAGGGAAGGACAUCGUGAUGGUACCUGGAAUAUCCGAUCAGUUAUUCCCUCAGUUCGGAUAUACAGUGGCUCGCAUCAAUACCAAAUAAACAUUAUGCAACGAAAUCAAGACCGAAUAAAUCACUAUAUUAAGCACUAUAUUAAGCACUAUAUUAAGCACUAUAUUAAGCACAGAGAAAGGGAAGGAAGGAAAUGGAAGGAUGGUGAUCCUUCAGACGAAGGAAGGACAUCGUGAUGGUACCUGGAAUAUCCGAUCAGUUAUUCCCUCAGUUCGCAUAUACAGUGGCUUCCAUCAAUACCAAAUAAACAUUAUGCAACGAGAUCAAGACCGAAUAAAUCACUAUAUUAAGCACUAUAUUAAGCACAGAGAAAGGGAAGGAAGGAAAUGGAAGGAUGGUGAUCCUUCAGACGAAGGAAGGACAUCGUGAUGGUACCUGGAAUAUCCGAUCAGUUAUUCCCUCAGUUCGGAUAUACAGUGGCUUCCAUCAAUACCAAAUAAACAUUAUGCAACGAGAUCAAGACCGAAUAAAUCACUAUAUUAAGCACUAUAUUAAGCACAGAGAAAGGGAAGGAAGGAAAUGGAAGGAUGGUGAUCCUUCAGACGAAGGAAGGACAUCGUGAUGGUACCUGGAAUAUCCGAUCAGUUAUUCCCUCAGUUCGGAUAUACAGUGGCUUCCAUCAAUACCAAAUAAACAUUAUGCAACGAGAUCAAGACCGAAUAAAUCACUAUAUUAAGCACUAUAUUAAGCACAGAGAAAGGGAAGGAAGGAAAUGGAAGGAUGGUGAUCCUUCAGACGAAGGAAGGACAUCGUGAUGGUACCUGGAAUAUCCGAUCAGUUAUUCCCUCAGUUCGGAUAUACAGUGGCUCGCAUCAAUACCAAAUAAACAUUAUGCAACGAGAUCAAGACCGAAUAAAUCACUAUAUUAAGCACUAUAUUAAGCACAGAGAAAGGGAAGGAAGGAAAUGGAAGGAUGGUGAUCCUUCAGACGAAGGAAGGACAUCGUGAUGGUACCUGGAAUAUCCGAUCAGUUAUUCCCUCAGUUCGGAUAUACAGUGGCUCGCAUCAAUAUUAAUAAUCACUAUAUUAAGCACUAUAUUAAGCACAGAGAAAGGGAAGGAAGGAAAUGGAAGGAUGGUGAUCCUUCAGACGAAGGAAGGACAACGUGAUGGUACCUGGAAUAUCCGAUCAGUUAUUCCCUCAGUUCGGAUAUACAGUGGGUCGCAUCAAUACCAAAUAAACAUUAUGCAACGA
rnacentral:sRNA from 1 species